rnacentral:rRNA from 1 species
UACGUAGGGCGCAAGCGUUGUCCGGAUUUAUUGGGCGUAAAGAGCUCGUAGGCGGUCUGUCGCGUCGGCUGUGAAAACCCGAGGCUCAACCUCGGGCCUGCAGUCGAUACGGGCAGACUAGAGUGUGGCAGGGGAGACUGGAAUUCCUGGUGUAGCGGUGAAAUGCGCAGAUAUCAGGAGGAACACCGGUGGCGAAGGCAGGUCUCUGGGCAUUAACUGACGCUGAGGAGCGAAAGCAUGGGGAGCGAACAGG